rnacentral:lncRNA from 1 species
GGAAAUUGCAAUAACAAAAUCUUAAUUCUAAUAGAAUACUAACAAUACUCUAAUUAGACUAUAAUAAUGCUAAUUAAGCUUAAUCAAAUUCAAAAAAACGUCAAAGAAAUUUCAAACAAACAAUAAGAAUUCUUAAAAAAAUAUUAAAAGAAUCACAAAUAUCACUCAAAUAUAUCUCAAUUCAAUCUUAAUUUAAUUCUAGUUAAAAUCCUAUUGAACUUCAUUAAAACUUUAGGCCAAAACUAAUUGAAUCUUAAAUCCUAAUAAAAUCCUAAAUCCUAAAAAAAAUCCUAAUUAAAUCCUAAACCAAAUCCUAAUCAAACCCUAACCAAAUCCUAAAUCCUAAAUAAAUCCUAACCAAAUCCUAAUCCAAAUCCUAAAUCCUAAACCAAUUCCUAAUCAAACCCUAAAUCCUAAAUCAAAUCCUAAUCCAAAUCCUAGUAAUUCCUACAACAGAUUUAAACCUCAAUAACUAAUGAAUAAACCGUUGAUCUUAACUCAAAUUUUAUACACUUCUAAAAACAUAAAUUCAAAAUAAGCACAAAAAAAUUGAAAAGGAUCGGAGUUAUCAAAUUG